rfam:Turicibacter sp. H121, complete genome.
CUUGAGCGUUGAAGCGAAAGGUUGCUGACACACCCGGCCGAUUUGCCAUGGCAAUGUGGCAGGUAAUUUUCGUGGAGCUAGUCUAUUCCUAAAAAUAGGCGA